ACCCAGCUGACGAAUCCCAAAUAGGAUGAAAUAUGCGUCCUAGAU
rfam:Schistosoma mattheei strain Denwood, Zambia genome assembly, scaffold: SMTD_scaffold0001584